ensembl:lncRNA
AUGAAUUUGGUAACUUGAACCGGAAAUUUAAAGAUAAAAGCCAAGAACUUAAGGUAUAUUGACUUGUACAGAGUUUCAUAAGACUGUAGCUUUGAAGUAGUUCUUUAAGCAGUGUCAGCCUUUGUGGCACAGAAAGUGACAAGCUUGGAGAAAAAAUUGCCUUAGGCCUUGCUAUACCUUACUGCUUUCUCACAUUCCAACAGAGAAAGAUGCUUUAAAGCCAAGAAUCCAAGCUUUAUAACUUUCAGAUAAAUAGUUAAUGAUGGAANNNNNNNNNNGCUGACCUGCUAAGUGACCUGGAGAAACUGAGGAAGCAGGAGGCACAAUGGAAAAAAGAAAAAUCUGGCAAUGAUACCAGAAUAAAGAUUAUUAUCCUUAUAAUAAGGACAGUUACAAAAUACAGCUCGCGAAGUUGUACUUUUUCCAUGCUCAGAUCUGUGAUAGAGAAGUAACAGUAUUUUUUAGUGUUUGAAAUACGUAGGUAUUUCAACAGCCUUCUUUAAGGGAGCUAGAGUACUAUAUUAUAGUGCAAGAAUCUGAAAUGGAGCUUUUACACAAAAAAUUGAAGAAAGUGGAUCUUAACCUAAUUUGUACACUACAGAUACUCUGGAAAGCAACAAUAUAAGGACUGGAAGAAAGCAUGAGGAACCACCUGUGAAACGUUCAAGGUCUCUGUCCCUGAAGAGCUCUUUUAGAGAGUCAGAGGAACUAAGGAAGCUUAAAAUAGCUGAGAGGAAGAUUGAAAACUUAGAGAAGACACUACAGCUAAAGAACCACUUUUUAAACUUAGUGAAGAUGAUGGGGUCAAGGGUCAUACUCCAAAGAGGUAUAUGAGAGAAGUUUCACAUGAGGUGUUACAGAAGGUACAACAACUAGAAAGAAGAUUCAAAGCUAUUGAAGGAGAAUUGAAGAAACAGAAAAAAGUAAAUAAAGACUUACUGAAUGAGAAAAUG